rnacentral:rRNA from 1 species
GAUGAACGCUGGCGGCGUGCUUAACACAUGCAAGUCGAACGAAGCACUUUAUUUGAUUUCCUUCGGGACUGAUUAUUUUGUGACUGAGUGGCGGACGGGUGAGUAACGCGUGGGUAACCUGCCUUGUACAGGGGGAUAACAGUUGGAAACGGCUGCUAAUACCGCAUAAGCGCACAGCAUCGCAUGAUGCAGUGUGAAAAACUCCGGUGGUAUAAGAUGGACCCGCGUUGGAUUAGCUAGUUGGUGAGGUAACGGCCCACCAAGGCGACGAUCCAUAGCCGACCUGAGAGGGUGACCGGCCACAGUGGGACUGAGACACGGCCCAAACUCCUACGGGAGGCAGCAGUGGGGAAUAUUGCACAAUGGGCGAAAGCCUGAUGCAGCGACGCCGCGUGAGCGAAGAAGUAUUUCGGUAUGUAAAGCUCUAUCAGCAGGGAGGAUAAUGACGGUACCUGACUAAGAAGCACCGGCUAAAUACGUG